UGGGAUGUAGCUCAGUGGUAGAGCAGGGAGCUGUUAACUCUCAGGUCGCAGGUUCGAGCCCUGCCGUCCCAGCCA
rnacentral:tRNA from 1 species